rnacentral:rRNA from 1 species
AUUGAACGCUGGCGGCAUGCCUUACACAUGCAAGUCGAACGGUAACGCGGGGCAACCUGGCGACGAGUGGCGAACGGGUGAGUAAAGCAUCGGAACGUGCCCAGUAGUGGGGGAUAGCCCGGCGAAAGCCGGAUUAAUACCGCAUACGACCUAUGGGUGAAAGGGGGGGAUCGCAAGACCUCUCGCUAUUGGAGCGGCCGAUGUCAGAUUAGGUAGUUGGUGGGGUAAAGGCCUACCAAGCCGACGAUCUGUAGGUGGUCUGAGAGGCCGACCAGCCACACGGGGACUUGGACACGGCCCAGACUCCGACGGGAGUCAGCAGUGGGGAAUUUUGGACAAUGGGCGCAAGCCUGAUCCAGCCAUGCCGCGUGCGGGAAGAAGGCCUUCGGGUUGUAAACCGCUUUUGUCAGGGAAGAAAUCCUUUGGGUUAAUACCUCGGGGGGAUGACGGUACCUGAAGAAUAAGCACCGGCUAACUACGUGCCAGCCGCCGCGGUAA